rnacentral:snRNA from 1 species
GAAUGUGAGGGCAAUCUGGCUGUGAUUUCUGUCACCCCAUUGAUCGCCAGGGUUGAUUUGGCUGAUCUGGCUGGCUAGGUAGGUGUCCCCUUGCUCCCUCCAAAUGCAUCCCUCGCAAAGCUGGGCUGUGUGCUUAGUCGAAGAGGACCACCACCCUCGCUAAAGGAGGAGGACCUCCUUCCGUCAGGGGUAUGGGAGUAGCUGCAUUCCCCUGCUAGAGCCUCCAGACAAGCUCUCAAGGUCCAUUUGUAGGGGAACAUACGGUAGUCAAGCUUCCAAGACUCCAGACACAGCGAAAUGAGGCACUGCAUAAGGCAGUCUGCCCUUCU